GAAAGUUCGCCCGUAGGGCGCCGGAUCGAGUCCUGCCGGCCAGAGCAGCGUCGCUGCCCGCCGGCGGCGCGGGAUCGUCA
rnacentral:sRNA from 1 species